rnacentral:lncRNA from 1 species
GUGAAAACAUCCCAAUUGUUCUUUGCGGUAACAAGGUUGAUGUGAAGAACAGACAAGUAAAGGCAAAGCAGGUUACCUUCCACAGAAAGAAGAAUUUGCAGUACUAUGAAAUUUCAGCUAAGAGCAACUAUAACUUUGAGAAGCCUUUCUUGUACCUUGCCCGGAAACUUGCAGGGUAGGCAACUACUUUAUUUGGAAGAACGCUUCAAACUUUUAUAUGCAUUUCAACUUAUUGUUUCAUACUUGUUUAACUUUGCAGCGAUCCUAACUUGCACUUUGUUGAAUCUCCCGCCUUGGCUCCUCCAGAGGUUCAGAUUGAUUUAGUUGCACAACAACAGUAAGCUAUCUGACAUGAUAUUGCUGAAUUGUUUCUACACUGACCUUGUGCUGGUCUGAUUUAUGGUUGGCAUGAAAAAAAUUACCUUGAACAUUCCUAUAAUUACUUUGUUGCUUUUGCAGGCAUGAGGCUGAGAUUGCCCAAGCUGCUAGCCAGCCCCUUCCCGAUGAUGAUGAUGAUGCAUUUGAGUAGGGCUUGUGUUGGAUCAUCUUCUCGAGUAUAUGCUUACUGUGUGUGUGUGUCGGAGGUUGUACUAUUCACAUUUUUGGAUGUGAAUUUGAGGAUCUGAUUUCAACCAGUAUGGAAUAUUUUGCUUGAAUUGAAAAUCUUAUUUAUUGUUAUUGCCGUGUGGGCAGUAAUUUUUCCAUCGUAGUCUUUUUUUUUUUUUUUUUACUUGCGUUUUAAAAUAUAUCAUCUAUGAAUUUGGUUUCAUACAGAUUUUAAUUUUUCGUAGGUUUUGUAUGUUACAGUGAGAUUUGAUAUUUAAUUUUAUAUCUGGAUACGAAUAUUUUUUUUCUAAAUGACACACUUAAUUGGCUAGUUUGGUGAAUAAGAAGUACUUUUACUUUAGUAAACAGCCGUCAAUGCAUUAAGAUACUUUACAAGCCAUAUAACGGCGUCACAUAUAUUGAAGCAAAGCAAAGCAAUAUUGAAGCAAAGCAAAAUGAAGUAGUGUUUCCAAACUACUCGAAGUACCAACUAGUACCACACUAUACUCAGCUAUACAAAUUUAUAAAGCUAACUCUUAUCUGGAUUUGGAUUAUCUACUUUUGAUUUCUCUACUUUUUUUUAUUUCUCUCUACAUUUGUUUUCUCUUUCAUGAUUUCAUCUUCGUACUAAACAUCACACUCUUAUUUUAUCUCAAAAUUUGUUUAAAGUUAUUCUACCUUAAGGUAAGGAAUCCAAAUCUCCUUUGUCCAAUCCCUGGUAGAGUUAAGGGGGCCUUUGGCUUCCAUCUUUAUUCCUUAUCCUCUCUCACCUAGCCAUGAGAAUCACUGUUGAGAGGAAUAUCCCUGGUCUUUCUGUUCUCGACAGGGUUCCAAAUCUUUCUUCAACACAGGUGACAACGAGUGGGGCAUAGAUGAAAUACAUUUCUCAAUUGAAAGUUUGAUUCUUAUUAUCGUGUUCAAUAAUUUUGAUAGAAAGAUGGAGAAAGUUGAUAAAACUGACUUGCAGAAAAUGAAUAAUUUGUCAAUAUUCUCAACCCAGGAUGUAAAUAAGUUAGGUCGUCAGUCAAUGGUCUAUGACCUGAUUUAUUUAAUAAAAAGGUUAGGCUCAAACUAUUUUUAAAGCCUAUUUAUUUAAAUAGGUCAUGUUCAGGCUUAUAAAAAAGUCUAUUAUGUCUGACAGACCGACAUAUAUAUAUUUUAUUAUUUAUUAAUUUUAUUUAUUAUUAUUUAUUAAUAAUAUUAUUUCCUAUUUUAAAAUAUAUUAUUUAGAAAAUCACUCAGUAGUCGUUCCAUAUUCGGUAAUCGUUUCAUAUUCGAUAGUUGUUCAAUUAGGCAAUCACUUCGUUCCAUAUUUGUUUGAGAGGUAAUAAUAGAUGCAUUUAUUUCAGGAAAAAAAUCUAUUAAUUGAAACUAAAAAAUCAUUUUUUAUGGUUUAAAUAGUGUUUGUUUCAGAUUUUUUAAAAAUUAUUUUGUUAGAAAAAUCAUUUUUUGUUUAAUAUAAGUAGAUAUGUAAAAUAUAACAUUUAAGUGUUUUAAUGUUAAUAAAGAUUUUAAAUAGGUUUUCAGAUAAAACCAGACUUUUAAAAAGGUCAUGUCAAGUCGGGGAAAAAAGACCCUAUAAUAGACCGUAUACUUAGGCCUAAAAAAUUAAUCGUAGGUCAGACUCAGACCUUUCAAAGUCUAAUCUGCCUUGAUUUAUUCCCACUUUAAAUUGUAAUGCGAAAUUGCCAGAUUCCAAUAUAGGCAAGUGAAGUUGGUGAUGCACUUAUGUGGUUCGGAUAGGAUUCAAUGUAUAGGCACGAAUGUAUUAACAGUUGAUUGAGAAAUAUUCCAUCAACUCCUCACGCUAACCUUCUAUCCUCUAAAGUAUAUAAAAAGGUCAUUUUACUUCUACUAUUUGAGAGUUAAAAUUUUUAAAAUUAUUUACAUUUUGACAAUUUCAAUUUUUUGAUUUUUUUAAAAAAAUUUAGAAAAUAACAUAUUGAAAGUUGUGUUCAUCCAAAUUUUCAUUUUUUUUUUAAAUUAUAGAAAUAUUGUAUUUUGAAAGUUUUACAUUCAUCUAUAUUUUUGAAAUAUUUUAAAAAAUAUAUAUAAAAAAAUUGCAUUUCAAAAAUUUCACAUUCAUUUAAAGGUUUGAAAUUUUUAAAAGUUUUAAAAAAAUUGCAUUUUAUAAAUUCUGCAUUCUUACAAAGUUUUAAAAUUCUUUUAAAAUUUUCAAAAAAAAAAAAAUUGACUAGUAAAUAGUAGGGGUAAAAUGAUCUUUUCAUUUGCUUUUAAGGUGGGAGGUAAAAAUAAAAGAGUGAAAGGGAAUUUCCAGACAAACCUACUACAGCAAGACCAGCUGAAACACGUAUGGGUUCGGGAGAUGGAGAUUUUUCUAAUUGUUUGAUGAAGUUGUAGAUACAAAAUCAAGGAAUGUUGGAUAUAAAAUCAGGUGUUCAUACAAAUAUAAAAGAAAAGAAGUUGAUAUUCAAUUAUUUAAAGAUUAUUUUUUUAUAGAAAUUUUAAAAAAAAAAUAAGAAACUAUUUUGUUUUAGUAUAUCACAUUGAAAAUCUCUUUUUAAAAAACAACAGUUAUAAAUAUUGAUUUUUUUUUUUUUUUAUAUUUCACAACCUAUAUUCGCUCACCAUGAAACUUAAGCUCAUCCUUGUCCACAACCUAAAGAAUAUUUAGUAAUUUUUUUAAAAUUAUUUUUUGCCUUAAUAUGUAUUAAUAUGGCUCGUGCUCUACAUAUUAUGUAGUGAAACUAUUAUGCACUUGUUAUGUGAUUGUGAAGUUCUUCAUGAGUUUUUGUAUCAGAAUAUAAAUGGAGAUAACCGUAGUAUAUUUUCGUGGUAUUUUUUUCUAUCAUAAAAAAAAUAUCAAAUUAUCAUUCAUUAGUAAUUAAAUAUUAAAGUACUUACUUUUUUUUAGUAUAAGAAUUAAGAGAAAAGAGUCCCCACAUAUCGACUUCUCAGUGUAAUUUUUUUUUUAAUUAUAAAAUUUAUUUUAUUAUUUAUAAAAUAUUUUUAUUAGUAGUGCUAUUUAGUAUGCACACACUUAAUGAAUUUGAUCAAUUAAUAAUGACAUAUUCAAUGAAAAAGUGGGUAGUUAUAAUUUAUAAAUGUGAAAUAAUGCAACACAUUAUUUUUUUAUUAAUAUCUUUCAUAAUAAUAAAUAUAUAUUUUAUUAAUCCAUAAUUAUUGUUUUAAUUAAAUAAUUAAUUUAAUUUUCAUUAAUUAUUAAUUUAAUUAAAUAAUUAAAUUAAAUUUCAUUAAUUAUUAAUUUUAGUAAUUAUUAUUUUAAUUAAAUAAAUAAUUACAAUGUUAAUUUUUUUAAUAAUAAUUAUCUAAUUAAAUUUUACUUUUUAUAAUUAUUAAAAAAUUAAAUAAAAUGGAGUCCAUAAAAAUAAUAAAAUUUAAUUAAAUAUUAUAAUUAAACAUACAAAUACAAGAUUAAAAAAAAUGAACUCAUUCUUGCUUAUUUAUCAGGAGCAUCAGUACGAUAAGAGCAUAUUUAUUCUUGCUUUGUCCCUCAUUCCGACACAAACCACGUCUCUUGAGUGUGUGUAUUUUGUAAAAUACAUGUUUUUGAUGAAGAUAAAGACCAAGGAAAGUGAUCAAGUUGCAAGCUCAAAAAGAAGUCAAACAUCAAAGACAACUAUGGUCAAAUAUGUUAGAAGUUUUAUAAUGUAAAUGUACAUGAUGCAAUCUAAUAUUCGUAUAUUUCAAAUGCACAUGAGAACCUUUCAUUUUAGCAUAUGCAUCAAAAGGAUUUUUAAAAAGUAAAAAUAUAUAAAUAAUGUUUGAAAAUAAUAUUUUUGGCAAAAUACAAUGUUGUAUUCGAAUACAACAUGUUGUAGUCGAAUACAGACAAGUCAGUAGCUAAAACUGAACAUCUUCAAACAUCUGCAUUCGAAUACUGGAAUGUGUAUUCGAAUACAAGCUUCAAAAUUCAAAUAAAAUUGAACGUUAAAAGGAUGUGUAUUCGACUACACACAAGCUGUAGUCGAAUACACCUGAAAACAAUGCAAUUUUUCAAUUCUGAAAUGGUUCCUGAUCAUUGUAUUUCUUCAUCAAACCUCUUGGAUCAAUGGCCACGAAUCUGAAGAGAUGUUUAUAGAGUAUAAAUACACCAUGACUUCAGAUCAAACAUAACCAAUCCUACAACCAAACCUUGAACAAACUUUGAACAAACUUUCUAAAAUGUUUUGAUUUAUUCAAAGUUUCACUUUUAUAUUUCAAGUACAGAUUUUAUAUUUUCAUAUCAUUGAGAAAAGUUCUCUAGUGUACUUGAAAUUAUAUUGAAUUGUUAUCAUUGUACAUCACCUAUUAUAUCAUAUUGAUCUAAGUCAAAAUCAAUAUUACUAAACCAUUCAAGUGUUGUAAAUUGAAGAAAAUGGUGUACUUUCUUCAAGUGUUGUAAAUUGAGGAAAGUGGUGUUCUUUCUUCAAGUUUUGUAAACUAAGAUAGUGGUGUGCUAUCUUAGGGUGAUUGUUAGGAGUUUGUAACAAAGGUCAUAGGUUGGGACUUGUACUUAUUCUAACAAUAAUGAAAAAUCUCUUGUGGUGUGCAAGAGUACUGGAUGUACCCUUGGUUAUAAGGGGAACCAAGAUAAUAUGUUUGUGUUCUUUAUUUUUCUGCCAUUUAUCUUUUCCAUACACUAUCUUAAAUCAGAAAAAUCAAACACUAAAUCUCUAAAAACAAGAAAAUUUCUAAACACCUAAUUCACCCCUACUCUUAGACGCACUUCUGUUCUUACAUAUUUUUCUCUUGUUGAUCCAUUUAAGUAUGAAUGCGAGUAGAUUGUAGACGGUGUCUUAGAUCUCUUCUCAUCGUUGGAUUGUGUCACCUUACUAAUAUGUCAUUUGUUUUCUCUAGUUCAUAUGGAUGCCUUACAGGGGUCUUGAAAACGUCAUACCACAACAAGUAUAACAUGAUUCAAUAAUAUGGACAAUCAAAACCAUUUUGAUUUGUUUAUCAACUGUAGAAUGACAUCAAACAUAUAGAGUCAAAGCAGUUUGGACUUUCCCAGAAAAUACCAAAUGAACCUGAAAACAUUAAUACACUUCACUGUCAAGAUAUGAGAGAGAAUCAUCUGAAAAAUUGGAAAGACAAACAUGCUACAUGGAAUCAAUUUUGGAACGAACGUCAAAGUUGUUGUCUUAUCGGCUAAUCGAUACAUGGACACCCAAUACCUAACAUAAGAGUAUAUGGUGUAGUUUAGACAUAACUCAAAUUUGUACCUAUCAGCUCCACACCCACUGCAAGACUCACGAUGUGGUGUUGCAAAAGAGUCAAUUCAACCAUCACAAUGACAAAGUCAUAAUAGAUCUCGCCCACUAACUCCCCCUAUUACUAUUGAAAAUGAAACGUUAUCAGCACAUCGCCAUUCAUUUUCUUUCACCCCAACGCAACAAUAAUUUGAACCACCAAGACAAUUAUUUCAAUUAACAUUGACUCGACAAUAUGAUCACUGACAAUCUCUACAUUAAAGCGACCAAGAUUUUGUGAAUAACUUAUUUGGUACAAACCUAGGUACGCACGAGUCGGUUGCUUGUUAUGUUACUAACGUGUACUCAUUUGGUGUUCAAUCAUUCCUCAAUCAAGUAGAUCUUACUUCUUCGAUCCAUGUCGACCUAUUAAGUGAAAAUGUACAUUAAACACAUGCCCUAGUUGACGAAGAAAACUAACCUCCACAUUGUAUUCUUCGACCACCACGACGUGAGACUGAACACCAUAUAGGUGAUUAUGUAAUAAAAUUUGUGUAUUUGUAUGUUUAAUUAUAAUAUUUAAUUAAAUUUUAUUAUUUUUAUGGAUUCCAUUUUUUUUAAUAAUUAUAAAAAGUAAAAUUUAAUUAGAUAAUUAUUAUAAAAAAAUUAAUAUUGUAUUUAUUUAUUUAAUUAAAAUAAUAAUUACUUAAAUUAAUAAUUAAUGAAACUUAUGUAAUUAUUUAAUUAAAUUAAUCAUUAAUAAACUUAUAAAACAAUUAACAUUUGACAAUAGAUGAAAACUUACAAAAGUUGAAAGAUUAUGAAAGCAUGUUAGAACAAGAAAAGUUUAAUUUAUAUUUUGGUAAACGCAAAUAUAAAUUUUUUAAUUGAGUGUAUUUUAAUACUUUAAAAAAUAUAUAUUUUAAAAUAAAUUAAUAAACGAGGAGGCCCAAGAAGGUUGAGCCCAAAAAUGAAGAUUUUGAUUGCGUGUGAUUGAAGUUGUGUAAUUUAAUUAAUUUAAUCGAAGGGUGUAGAAAACUGCGUGAACCUGACGCUAUAAGAGUCAUUCCUCAAAUUCGAAAACCCUUGAAAUAUAAACCCUCGCUCUCUCUUUCUCCUUCUUCAAAUUGCUCCGUUUCUUUUUGCGUCACUUGUUCCUCUCUUUGACGCGAACACUCUGAUUCCAUGGUACGUUUUUCUUCUUCACCGUCUUAAACUUGUCUUUUCAGCUUAAUUUUUGAAUUCUGUUGAAUUGAUCUUUUUUUUAUCUGCUGCUGCAGGCGUUGCCCAAUCAGCAAACUGUUGAUUACCCUAGUUUCAAGCUCGUUAUCGUCGGUGACGGUGGCACUGGUUCGUUUUUCUUCACUUUGUUUUCGUUUUUUUAGAUUUAUUUUGUAACCUAAAAUCAGAGAUUCGCUAGAAUCUGGUUUGUAGAUUAGGAUAUGAAUUUUUUUACAAUGCAGGUAAGACUACAUUCGUGAAGAGGCAUCUUACUGGUGAAUUUGAGAAGAAAUAUGAACGUAAGAAAAGUAUUCAGUUGUGAUUUCAAUUAGCGAUUUAAUACGGGUCUAAGUUUUUAAGUGAUUUAUUAUUUGUUGGUAAACAGCAACUAUUGGUGUGGAAGUUCAUCCAUUGGAUUUCUUCACAAACUGUGGAAAGAUUCGUUUCUACUGCUGGGAUACUGCUGGACAAGAGAAGUUUGGUGGUCUCAGAGAUGGAUAUUAGUAAGUUUCUUCAUUUCUUUUAAUAUUAUUGGUUCCUGUUUAUUGUGCUUUCAAAUUUGUGUUUUGUGUGAUCUUUUGGUUAUUUAUUUAUUCAAUUUCAUUUACAUAUGCCUAACCUGCAUGGUCAUCUUCAAUCAUCUAAUGCUGUGAGUAUUAAGGUUGUUCUCGGUCAUCAUGAUCUGUCUCUAUUCAGGAUACACAUGUAUCUUGUGAAGAUUUGAAACAUGAUAUUUUAGCACUUUUAUCAUAUUGUGAUUCUGACUGAUAAAGUAGUUUUUACAUUCUCAGCAUCUUCUGCAAGGGUGUUAAAUACAUGACUUGUUUCUUUCCAACAAGUAUAUCUGUUCCCCGGGAUUAAUCAGUACUGUAGUAUUGCAUGUCCUUUUUGUAGUCCUUAUUCCUGUUGGGAUGAGUUAUUAGCUAAGUGGGUAUCCUAGCAUGGAAGAUUUCAAUGAUUGUGAGGAUUUUUUAGCCGAACAGUUUGUGUAAAGGCUUUUAGUAUGCCAUGAUACGAGUUCCUUUCACUAUUAUUUGGGUAUCUGCUUUGCUCUCUUUCUAAUGUUAACAUGCUUUGUCUUACUUUGCAGUAUCCAUGGGCAGUGUGCAAUUAUAAUGUUUGAUGUUACUGCUCGGUUAACAUACAAGAAUGUACCUACUUGGCAUCGUGAUCUUUGCCGGUUUGUAAAUCAAUUCCUUGAAACCGUUGUAAUUGUUGUCUCUAUACAUUUGGUAUUUGGCACCAAGUUGUUUAUCUUACUGUUUUGGCAACUAUCUACACAAUUGUUUUCAGGGUUUGUGAAAACAUCCCAAUUGUUCUUUGCGGUAACAAGGUUGAUGUGAAGAACAGACAAGUGAAGGCAAAGCAGGUUACCUUCCACAGAAAGAAGAAUUUGCAGUACUACGAGAUUUCAGCGAAGAGCAACUAUAACUUUGAGAAGCCUUUCUUGUACCUUGCCCGGAAACUUGCAG